UCAGGAAGGUAAAGUCAGUGUUACGCUGACAGGAGCUGGCUGAAGGAUGUCUGUUGUCUGCACCGCUAUGUAGGAUACAAGAGUAGAAGAGGACUGCAUCUGAAGGCUUCAAACAAGAGUUCACUGACACAAGGAGCUCACUGAAUUAUCUCUGUAGGUAUCACAAUCAUGGCACCAAUCAGCACUCAUCUGGUAGGAUGGGCGGUCACAGAGCAACCAGAGGCUGCAUUUCUCUCCAUAGUCAUCCUCUUAAUCAUUAGCAUCGCACUCCUCGUUCUCUGUGCAAGCUGUAAAAAAAAAUCAUUUGAGUUAGACAGAAGCAGCGCACCCGAACAGAAAGCAUCCACACUUGUGAACGUGGCGAGAAUGGACAAUUCAAGUGGUGAAAGACAAAACCCCACUGCUAAUGACAUUACAAAUGAUGAAAUGGAGUCUGUGAAUGGUGACGCUGUGUACAGACCCUGGAGAAGUCACACUCUCACUCAUGAUACAAGUCCACCAACUCAAGAAAACAGUGGGGCCGGGACAGUGAACUGAGGGUUAGGUAACGCUUCAAGCUAUCUAAAAAAAUAUGACAAACAGCAUCACCUCUGACUUCAAAUGGUGGAAACAAGUCUGCAGACUGCCACCGUAUUUAUUAUGCAACCUGAAAUGCUCAUACUAAGCAAAAGCCCUCAUCACUUGAGGGGAUUUUAUCAGAGAUAAAAGGUUUUUGUAUCCUUCUGGGGCUGGUCUGAAGUCCUGCUUUGUAGCAUUUACUCCCAUAAGUGCCCAUCAAACUCCAUUUGAAGAAGAGGCGGAAGUGGCAGCAUCACUGCCAGAGAGACCUAAAGAAAUUACGAUUUUUCCUUUCUUUUUCUAAUAAAGUCCAGUAUUGGGAAAUUA